AUUGAACGCUAGCGGGAUGCCUUACACAUGCAAGUCGAACGGAGUGGCGAACGGGUGAGUAAUGUAUCGGAACGUGCCCAGUAGCGGGGGAUAACUACGCGAAAGCGUAGCUAAUACCGCAUACUAUUGGAGCGGCCGAUAUCGGAUUAGCUAGUUGGUGGGGUAACGGCUCACCAAGGCGACGAUCCGUAGCUGGUUUGGGAGGACGACCAGCCACACUGGGACUGAGACACGGCCCAGACUCCUACGGGAGGCAGCAGUGGGGAAGUUUGGACAAUGGACGCAAGUCUGAACCAGCCAAGUAGCGUGCAGGAUGACGGCCUAUGGGUUGUAAACUGCUUUUAUAUGGGGAUAGGUACCAUAUGAAUAAGGACCGGCUAAUUCCGUGCCAGCAGCCGCGGUAAUAC
rnacentral:rRNA from 1 species